CUUCUCUUCGUUCUCAGCGUUUUAAAGCACCGAGUAGAGCAGUACCCAGAGAAGGAGCUGAAGGGAGUAUCACAGAGAAGGGAAACAGAAACCACUGAAUGACUGGCUCGUUACUGGUGUCUUCAUAACAUUCAUCCAGAUCAAUGACCUGCCUUGGGACCUGUCCUUUCAGGCUUGAAUUGGAUUUUGGAAAGCAUCGCACAGAAGUUUGUUAACCGUCACUGUGGGGGAUUCCUGCCAGCCACACGACAUCGUGAAGGUGUUAACCUGUCACCUGACUCAGCUGACAUUUGCUCCAGUGUCUUUACAUAUUUGACUCACUUAUCCUGAGCUUUUUUUGUUUUAAUGUGUUUUGGGCUCUGCCUUGUUGCUGUCUUUUUAGAAAAUAAGUUACAAAAUUUGUAUCAUUUUUUUCCCACUUACUUCUCCGAUACCAGAACAGUGUGAAAUACAGUAGACAUUCAAUAAAUACUUGUUCAAUGAA